GGGGAAUAUUGGACAGUGGGGGCAACCCUGAUCCAGCAAUUCUGUGUGCACGAUGAAGGUUUUCGGAUUGUAAAGUGCUUUCAGCAGGGAAGAAAAAAAUGACGGUACCUGCAGAAGAAGCGACGGCUAAAUACGUGCCAGCAGCCGCGGUAAUACGUAUGUCGCAAGCGUUAUCCGGAAUUAUUGGGCAUAAAGGGCAUCUAGGCGGCCAGAUAAGUCUGGGGUGAAAACUUGCGGCUCAACCGCAAGCCUGCCCUGGAAACUAUGUGGCUAGAGUACUGGAGAGGUGGACGGAACUGCACGAGUAGAGGUGAAAUUCGUAGAUAUGUGCAGGAAUGCCGAUGAUGAAGAUAGUUCACUGGACGGUAACUGACGCUGAAGUGCGAAAGCUAGGGGAGCAAACAGGAUUAGAUACCCUGGUAGUCCUAGCUGUAAACGAUGAUUACUGGGUGUGGGCAUGAAGAGUGUCCGUGCCGAAGCUAAUGCGAUAAGUAAUCCGCCUGGGGAGUACGGCCGCAAGGCUG
rnacentral:rRNA from 1 species